GUUUUGUAUCCAGUCCAGCAGGGUCAUUAUGUAACUCGGUGAACGCUUUAAAAUCACAGUCACGACAACAAAUGACAGCGAUUUUUCGUUUUUGCGAUCAUGUAACACACAUCUCCCACCGAAAUGACGUCAUCUUGGAUCGUUCUCUGUCACGGUCACUUGUAGGGAUUUAUCCAAGUUAUAACGCAGUUUUUACGUAUCGAUAGUCAGUUUAAGCGAUUAUGUAAGCAUAAUGAUCAUACAACUGGGUGACACAGAAGUUGUCAAAGUCAAUCGCUAUAGAAACUAAUACCGAGCAGUGUUUUAAUAAAGUUUACUUGACGCCUGUGAUUCAAUAAUUACAAAUAAAAGUACUUUUAGGAUUUUUUUGAAUUUUGUACUAUACCUUGUAAGUAAGGUAUUAGUUUGUAAGUCAAUAAAAUCAGAAUUAGAAAAGUUUUUCAUGUAAAAUAUGACGAAAGUUGAGAAUAUAUAGUAGUGUUUACCGACAUUGCCAUGUACAAUACAAUGCAUGUAGCAUUUGUAUUGUACGCGGAAACGGAACGAAAAAGAUGUCUUUGUCGAGUUCAUUGCAAAACUUUCGUGUCGCGAUACCAGCAGGUUUUAGAAGAAAUACAAAGUCUUCGAACAACUGCUGUUCGCAAUGAAUUAGAGAUAAGUAAGUUAUAUGAAUGAAUGAAGGAAUUUUCUUCAUUCUCUGCGUUGAGCAAGUGACGUGGACUAUGGGCCUAACCCCUCUCAUUCUGAGAGGAGACUCGAGCUCAGCAGUGAGCCGAAUAUGGUAUUUUUAUAUGGUCUUGGCAGCUUUAAACUUUUAUGCCAAUGGAUCAUACAAAUGGCUUUGUGAUGGCUAAGGCAUCUUUUAGCAAAUGCCUACAUGAAGUCGCUGACGCUCCUGAAUACCCCAGCUGUUUAAAAAAAAUGUGUUAAGUUCCCUUUGCAUUAAACACAAAAUCAUUAUAAAUAAAUAUGUGAUGCCAAUCUAAUAAUAACAUAGUGGAUGCUCAAUUUGGUGGUGCAUCUUAUGACUUGUACAUAUGGAACCAGUGCAAUAAGACCACUUGAGGAAAACCUGCCCAAUAGGGACCGCUGUUGGUUGUUAGGUGACCAAUGUUUGCAUGAUGACCCCCAUCUUGGGAGCUGCUCCUAGAUCCCAUGAAGAUAUGCACAACAUUGCUGUGUCAGAAAUACGGUGGAGCCUUGUAGUUGGGUGCAUAUUGUAAAAUGUUUCCUCACUCCAAAACCAUGAACUCUGGUUUCCUAAACCCUCAAGCUAUGCAGCCGAAGGAGGAGACUUAUCACAGGAGAAUCACUAAUAAUUUUGAAGAAGUGAAGAGCUUAACAAUGUUUCAACCAACACCUAAAGAAGCUUUCACUUAGCUGUUAGAUCAAGGGCUGGAUACAGAAAACAGUAAUCCUUGUGAUGGCAGUAUUGUCCAAGGAUUCCUUACUCAAAACCAUGAUAACAAGUUUCUAGAACCCUCAAGCUAUGCAGACAAAGGACUGGAUAUAUUUUUUCGUGACCAAGCCUUCUGUAUAAUUAUUUAUACUUAAACCAUACAAAGCACUAUCUAGCCCCAAAGUAGGCAUACAGAGUAGCUUGUGUUGUGGGUACUAAGAUAGUUGAUAUUAUAAUAUUCAUUUACAUUUAUAUACUACCUAUAAAUACUUAUAUAAUGUAUAAAUACACACACACUGGAAAAAACCCAUGCUCUUCACACAAAUAUUUUCCAGGUGUGGGAAUCGAACCCAUGACCGUGGAUGCAGGAGCACUACUUACUGCGCCACGCGUAUGUGUUUUUAUUUUGAAGCAAAUUAUUAAAGUUGAUAAUUCAAAUUGUAGUCAUGUUUUUAAUUAAUCUAUAAUUAAUUUUUAAUUUACAUUUUUGUUAAAUAUUUACCUAUACUUCAGUCUAUUUUUGUUAGAGGGGGUACCUAUAUGUGUAAGUAGGGUCGUUUCUUGAUUAAAUUAAACUAAAGAAUGAAAGAUAUAUAUUAUAACAAAAUUUGUCAACAACAAUAUAUCAAGUCUGAAUAAAAAAUACCAACACAAGUAAA